UACGUAGGGUGCGAGCGUUAAUCGGAAUUAUUGGGCGUAAAGGGCGCGUAGGCGGCUUUGCAAGUGACGGGUGAAAUCCCUCGGCUUAACCGAGGAACUGCCUGUCAAACUGCAUGGCUUGAGACCGGGAGAGGUGAGUGGAAUUCCCAGUGUAGCGGUGAAAUGCGUAGAUAUUGGGAGGAACACCAGUGGCGAAGGCGGCUCACUGGACCGGUACUGACGCUGAUGCGCGAAAGCGUGGGGAGCAAACAGG
rnacentral:rRNA from 1 species